rnacentral:rRNA from 1 species
GACGAACGCUGGCGGCGUGCCUAAUACAUGCAAGUUGAGCGCUGAAGGUUGGUACUUGUACCAACUGGAUGAGCAGCGAACGGGUGAGUAACGCGUGGGGAAUCUGCCUUUGAGCGGGGGACAACAUUUGGAAACGAACGCUAAUACCGCAUAAAAACUUUAAACACAAGUUUUAAGUUUGAAAGAUGCAAUUGCAUCACUCAAAGAUGAUCCCGCGUUGUAUUAGCUAGUUGGUGAGGUAAAGGCUCACCAAGGCGAUGAUACAUAGCCGACCUGAGAGGGUGCUCGGCCACAUUGGGACUGGGACACGGCCCAAACUCCUACGGGAGGCAGCAGUAGGGAAUCUUCGGCAAUGGACGAAAGUCUGACCGAGCAACGCCGCGUGAGUGAAGAAGGUUUUCGGAUCGUAAAACUCUGUUGGUAGAGAAGAACGUUGGUGAGAGUGGAAAGCUCAUCAAGUGACGGUAACUACACAGAAAGGGACGGCUAACUACGUG